rnacentral:rRNA from 1 species
ACCGCGGUAAUUCGUAAAAGACUAGUGUUAUUCAUCUUUAAUAGGUUUAAAGGGUACUUAGACGGUAAAUCAAGCCCGAAGAGGGAACUAAUAUACUAGAGUUUGAUGUAAGGAAGCAUGAAAGUACUGUUGGUGUAGAGAUAAAAUUCUAUCAUACCAAAUAUGGCACAGGUUUAGGCGAAAGCAUCUUCUUAUGUAAUAACUGACGUUGAAGGACGAAGGCUUUGUGUCUCGAACAGGAUUAGAUACCCCAGUAGUCUAAGCAGACAAUGAUGAAUGUCAUAGAUUAGAUUUAAUUUAUUCUAUAAAUGAAAGUGUAAGCAUUCCACCUCAAGAGUAAUUUGGCAACAUUGGAACUGAAAUCAUUAGACCGUUUCUGAAACCAGUAGUGAAGUAUGUUGUUUAAUUAGAUGGUACGCAAAAAACCUUACCACAAUUUGAAUUAUAAUAUGUUUUCACAAGCGCUGCACGGCUGUCUACACUUAA